rnacentral:lncRNA from 1 species
ACACCAUUUCACUCCAGCCUGGGCAAAAGAGCGAAACUCCGUCUCAAAAAAAAAAAAAAAAUUCCAACGAAGUCGUGAGAUCCUGUCUCUACAAAAAACUGUUUUAAAAGUUAGCCAGGCAGGGUGGCAUGUACCUGGAGUCCCAGCUACUCAGGAGGCUGAGGGAGGAGGAUCCCUUGUGCCCAGGAGAUCAAGGCAUAGCCAACAUGCUAAUGAACUCUUUUCUCAGUUAAUUCCACUAAUUAGUUAUCUCUUCUUGUUCUGCCAGAAUCCCAACCCUUUUACAAUCUACUCAUCAAAUCCAUCAGGCCACAUAUUAUGCCUUCCUAGAGGAACACUUUUCGUGAUGACACUUUGUAAACAAGGCAAUCUGAUGCUGCCUGUUCUAUCUUCCCAGAUCUAGUUGAUAGUUCAAAACAUCAACAUUAACCACAAGUAAAAUAUGCUUAAAAAAUAAUCAGGAGACGAUCUCCUGCUCUAUCUGGAAAUUUCUCUAUUCAGCUAGUUCUGCGUUGACAGGUCAACAGAGAAUGGCACUAGUUAUUGCUACAAUCCUAAAAGGCAUUUCCCUACAGCUAAACCAUCAACCCUUUCCUAAAAUCCAUAUAAUCCAAAAUUUUUCUAGCAGAAUUUACUCUCCCUGCCCCUACCCCAGCAGCAUCUUCUGAUCAUUUUUCACCAUAAACUGAGGUUUCCUCAUAGUGAUGCCAAGUCAGGCAAACACAUUCCUUAAGCGUUCCACCUAACUCCCUUCUUCCUGGAAGUUACAUGUAAUAGCUGCCUUUAUUUACUUAUUUUUAAAACUCUUCAAGCACCAGGUACAGUGGUAAGUGCUUUUAAAGAACAUGUAUCUACUUCCAUCCUUAACACUGUAUGAGAUUGGGACUCACAUUCCCAUUUUACAGAGGAGAAAUGCAAAGGCUUAGUAACCUGCCCAAGGUCAUACAGGGCAGAGAUUGGAAUCCAAGUCUGACCUCUGUGUCCUCCGCUCUUAACCUUCAUGCUGUCUUUCCUUCUGAUCUCUUCCUGUCCUAACUGGUGCCCUGUGGUCUUAUAAA